CUCGGCGCGCCGGGGAGGGUUGCGCACUGAGCUCUGGGCCGCCGCGCCGCGGUGCUUCCUGGUAUUCGUAGUUUUUGAGCACCACCGGGCUUGGCUCGGAGGUGGAACUCCGGGUUCUCUGAUGUCAUCGCCUAGAGCUGCGAGGAACAGGGAUCUUUAAAAAUAGGCUUCGUUAGUUUGCAGAUAAUUUGUUUGCAAGCUGUCCCAUAAUCGGUCCAAGUGGCACAAAUGUACAGGCUGCGGUACGACCUGGAGAAAAACGCUUUACACUUCUGCGCGCCAAUUUUUCGCUCUUCUCUCUCCCUGCAAAUGUAGCUCCACCGCCUACUUACAAUGGUGUUAAUAGUACAAGAGGAUGGGAGAGACUUAAAGAAGAAUUAGUCGAAAUUCUUUCAGCAAGGGUGGAGCAUGAAUAUGUAUUCUGUGCCUAGAACAGAAGUAUGUGUUGAAUGAUGAAUGCCACAGCCCCCUUUAUGGACAGAGCCAGCAUCAGAAGCCAAGCAAAAGGAGUACCUCCAGAAGCAAACCUCUGUUCUAACCAGAAAUCAGAACCAAGAUAGAACAAGAAUUAAACAUGAACUGAACACUCUCUGAA